GCAUUGGCUUUACUAGGCAGGGGAAGCUUCUAGCAGUGUCUAACAGAAGCCAACCUUGUAGCCCCCACCCCCACCCCUGCUAGUAAAACCUACCCACAGAAACGCACAAACCCACAAACACUCUAGCAAAACUCGUGAGGAAAGCUAGGUUUAUUUUACUAUGACCUUUGGCAUGUUAUUUAAGCUCCCCUUGGGCCUUUGUUUCUCAUCUCUCCCAAAAAGGUGCUGUGAAAAAGAAUGCGUGGCUGGUGAGUGGCACUGGCAGACAAACUGAGGCUGCUGCUCUACAGUGAUCAAACGUCUUCCCAAACGGGAGGACCCAGAGACCACCAAAGCUGGUACCAAGACAGAGCUGAGCGUCUGGGCAGGGAAGGGCUGGGUGGUGACAAUUCUCCACCUGUGGCCGAGGCUCUUGUGGGAGGGCAGCCAGCAAAACACCACCUUCAUUCUUCAGCACACAAGUUAUUUACCAGUGUCCUGUUAGCUGUGAGGGGACAUUUCUAGAAGGUUUAUCCACCUGAAUGGGUCACUGAAGAUAUUGCCAGGGUUUUUUUUUUUUUUUCUGGUUUGCCCAGUCCACUGAAAAUGAGUCACUUUUUAGUGGAGAUA